rnacentral:rRNA from 1 species
UACAGAGGUCCCAAGCGUUGUUCGGAUUCACUGGCGUAAAGGGUGCGUAGGUGGUGAGGUAAGUCGGAUGUGAAAGCUCGGAGCUCAACUCCGAAAUGGCAUUGGAAACUACCUUGCUCGAGGGUUGGAGGGGGGACUGGAAUACUUGGUGUAGCAGUGAAAUGCGUAGAUAUCAAGUGGAACACCAGUGGCGAAGGCGAGUCCCUGGACAACUCCUGACACUGAGGCACGAAAGCUAGGGGAGCAACAGG